AGAGUUUGAUCCUGGCUCAGAAUGAACGUUGGCGGCGUGGAUUAGGCAUGCAAGUCGAGCGAGAACCAGUCUUCGGAUUGGGGACAGCGGCGAACGGGGUAGGAAUACCUCGGUACGUACCCCCUGAUCGGGGAUAGCGGCGGGAAACUGCCGGUAAUACCCGAUGAUAUGCGCAAGCAUCAAAGGUGUGAUUCCGUCGGGGGAGCGGCUGAGGUCGUAUUAGCUUGUUGGUGGGGUAACGGCCUACCAAGGCGAUGAUGCGUAGGGGGUGUGAGAGCAUGGCCCCCACCACUGGCACUGAGACACUGGCCAGACACCUACGGGUGGCUGCAGCCGAGAAUCUUCGGCAAUGGGCGCAAGCCUGACCGAGCGACGCCGCGUGCGGGAUGAAGGUCUUCGGAUUGUAAACCGCUGUCGGAGGGGAUGAAAUGCCGGUGGGUACUCCCAUCGGUUUGACAGAGCCUCGGAGGAAGCACGGGCUAAGUUCGUGCCAGCAGCCGCGGUAAUACGAACUGUGCGAACGUUAUUCGGAAUCACUGGGCUUAAAGGGUGCGUAGGCGGCGGCACAAGUCAGGUGUGAAAUCCCCCGGCUCAACCGGGGAACAGCGCUUGAAACUAGGUCGCUCGAGUGAGGCAGGGGUGUAUGGAACUUCCGGUGGAGCGGUGAAAUGUGUAGAUAUCGGAAGGAACGCCGGCGGCGAAAGCGGUACACUGGGCCUUGUCUGACGCUGAGGCACGAAAGCUAGGGGAGUGAACGGGAUUAGAUACCCCGGUAAUCCUAGCCGUAAACACUGAGCACU
rnacentral:rRNA from 1 species